rnacentral:tRNA from 1 species
GGGGAUAUGGCUCAGUGGUAGAGCUCUUGCCUAGCAGACACAAGGCCCUGAGUUCAAUCCCCGGCACCCCCA